rnacentral:rRNA from 1 species
UACGUAUGGAGCAAGCGUUAUCCGGAUUUACUGGGUGUAAAGGGAGCGUAGACGGCAUAGCAAGUCUGAAGUGAAAUCCCGGGGCUCAACCCCGGAACUGCUUUGGAAACUGUUAAGCUGGAGUGCAGGAGAGGUAAGCGGAAUUCCUAGUGUAGCGGUGAAAUGCGUAGAUAUUAGGAGGAACACCAGUGGCGAAGGCGGCUUACUGGACUGUAACUGACGUUGAGGCUCGAAAGCGUGGGGAGCAAAC